UAUGCUAUAGGAGUCAAUUCAAGGUACUAAGUCACACCUAUAAAGCACUGAACAACUCUAGCCCCUCCUAUAUCUCUUCACAGAUUCAUAGGUAUGUCCCUUGUCGGUCUCUCCGCUCUGCCCAUGACCACCUCCUGUCCGUUGUCCGCACCUGUACGGCCAACUCACGCUUACAGGACUUCUCGCGAGCGGCUCCCUUCCUAUGGAAUAGCCUGUCUACGACCAUCA